CCCAGCUCUCAGUCAGCUGACCAGACUCCUCCGGUCUGGAUCGGUGUUACAGAGCUGGGACAGGAAGUCUCUGUACUUGGCCUCGGCAGCACUGGUUCUGUUUUAGAGCCGGCUGCGGUCGAGCUGCUGCAGAGCGUGGCCCGGUGAGAGUGGCCCGUCCUGGACCCACGUGAGGACGGGCCUAGAACAGGGCUGCACAUC